ACGGAAGGCAGCAGUGGGGAAUAUUGCACAAUGGGGGAAACCCUGAUGCAGCGACGCCGCAUGAGUGAAGAAGUAUUUCGGUAUGUAAAGCUCUAUCAGCAGGAAAGAAAAUGACGGUACCUGACUAAGAAGCCCCGGCUAACUACGUGCCAGCAGCCGCGGUAAUACGUAGGGGGCAAGCGUUAUCCGGAUUUACUGGGUGUAAAGGGAGCGUAGACGGCUUUGCAAGUCUGAAGUGAAAGCCCGGGGCUCAACCCCGGAACUGCUUUGGAAACUGUAGAGCUAGAGUGCAGGAGAGGUAAGUGGAAUUCCUAGUGUAGCGGUGAAAUGCGUAGAUAUUAGGAGGAACACCAGUGGCGAAGGCGGCUUACUGGACUGUAACUGACGUUGAGGCUCGAAGGCGUGGGGAGCAAACAGGAUUAGAUACCCUGGUA
rnacentral:rRNA from 1 species